UGAAUACGAGAUGCUACGGCGUCGAAGCAGUGUAUGUCAGACUUCCAAGAAAAGCUCGCAAUGUCAUAAAUAAAGAAUGCCUGUACCAUAACCGACACAGGUGGGUAGGUAGAGUAUACUAAGGGGCGCGAGAUAACUCUCUCUAAGGAACUCGGCAAAAUAACUCCGUAACUUCGGGAGAAGGAGUGCCUUCUUUAAGAAGGUUGCAAUAACAAGAUCCAAGCAACUGUUUAUCAAAAACACAGGUCUCCGCUAAGUCGUAAGACGAUGUAUGGGGGCUGACGCCUGCCCAGUGCCAGAAGGUUAAAGAAGUUGGUUGGCUUUUGCGAAGCUGAUGACUGAAGCCCUGGUGAACGGCGGCCGUAACAAUAACGGUCCUAAGGUAGCGAAAUUCCUUGUCGGGUAAGUUCCGACCCGCACGAAAGGCGUAAUGAUUUGGAUACUGUCUCGGAGAGGGACUCGGUGAAAUAGACUUGUCUGUGAAGAUGCGGACUACCUGCACCAGGACAGAAAGACCCUAUGAAGCUUUACUGUAACUUGAAAUUGAAAUUGGACUUUAUUUGCGCAGUAUAGGUGGAAGGCGUUGAAAGUAAUCUUGCGGGAUUAGUGGAGCCAUCAGUGAGACACCACUCCUAUAAUGUUAGAUUUCUAACUUUGGAUCAUGAUCUGGUCAAAGAACAGUUUCAGGCGGGCAGUUUGACUGGGGCGGUCGCCUCCCAAAUGGUAACGGAGGCGUACAAAGGUUUCCUCUGAACGGGUAGAAAUCGUAUCUAGAGUGUAAAGGCAUAAGGAAGCUUGACUGUGAGACCUACAAGUCGAGCAGGGACGAAAGUCGGUCUUAGUGAUCUGACGGUGCUGAGUGGAAAGGCCGUCACUCAACGGAUAAAAGUUACUCUAAGGAUAACAGGCUGAUCUCCCCCAAGAGUUCACAUCGACGGGGAGGUUUGGCACCUCGAUGUCGGCUCAUCGCAUCCUGGGGCGGUAGUACGUCCCAAGGGUUGGGCUGUUCGCCCAUGAAAGCGGUACGCGAGCUGGGUUCAGAACGCCGUGAGACAGUUCGGUCCAUAUCCGGUGUAGGCGUUAGAAUAUUGAGAGGAGCCUUCUUUAGUACGAGAGGACCGAGAAGGACAUACCUCUGGUGUACCAGUUAUCGUCCCAACGGUAAACGCUGGGUAGCCAUGUAUGGAGAGGAUAACCGCUGAAAGCAUCUAAGUGGGAAGCCCACCUCAAGAUGAGUAUUCUCAUC
rnacentral:rRNA from 1 species